rnacentral:sRNA from 1 species
GUUUUUUUCGUUUUUGUCUUAAAAUUAAAUGCAUUGACUAUAUUUUUAGACUGGCUAGUAGGUCUGGACACGAAGCGGAUAUCCGAAAAAAUUGUGAUAUUUGUUAUUCGAUUCGUUUUAAACGAAUACUUGAUUUUGUGAUUUGCUUUGCUUCAAAAAUUUCCGGAUAUCCGAUAUUUCGAAUAUCCGGAAUUUUUUGUGAUAUUUGCGGAUAUUUGCGUUUAUCCGCUUUGAUACAUUUAAAUAUUU